CCCAAGAAUACUCCCUCAUCACUUCUGGAAUCAAACUUUACAUAAGGAGUCUUUGCCAUUAUUGUGCACAAAGUACUUGCAUCUAAAUGCCCUAAGAUGGGAUAUAUUUGGUUUAUCCCUUUAAGUGACUGAUAGGGAAUCUUCUUAAGAAGAGGUCUAGUCAUGCAAAUAUUUAUGAUAUAGCAUACAAGAAUUCAGAAAACUUAGCAUUUUCAAAUUUAGCUCCAUGAUCAGACCUAAUUGAUGCAAGUUGAUUACCU
rnacentral:lncRNA from 1 species